rnacentral:rRNA from 1 species
UACAGAGGUCUCAAGCGUUGUCCGGAUUUAUUGGGCGUAAAGAGCGUGUAGGCGGCUUUACAGGUCCGUUGUGAAAACUCGAGGCUCAACCUCGAGACGCCGGUGGAAACCGUAAAGCUAGAGUCCGGAAGAGGAGAGUGGAAUUCCUGGUGUAGCGGUGAAAUGCGCAGAUAUCAGGAGGAACACCCGUGGCGAAAGCGGCUCUCUGGGACGGUACUGACGCUGAGACGCGAAAGCGUGGGGAGCAAACAGG